rnacentral:tRNA from 1 species
GUUCAAAUAGCUUAUAUAGAGCGUAACACUGAAGAUGUUAAAGAGACUUUUGAGUCUUUGAACA